AUGCAAAUUCCCGGUUUUGAAGGCUUAUUGCAAUAAAUCCGCUGGCUUUUAAUCAGAGGGAUCAGAAACGCUACGGAACUCUGUGUUAGGGGAAAGGCAAAAGAACUCCUACUGUCUAAAACGGUGACUUUGCUGAUCAGAGCUCAUAGCUCUCAGAACCCUUGGGAGCUUCUCAGGCCUCAGAGGAGAAGAAUGAGGUCUACAAAUUACAGUAAACUGUGUGCCUGGUAAUGAGGAUAAUGGAGCAGAAUGAGUUGGGGUACUCUCUCAUGAUCAGGGAUCCUGUUAAAACAGAGAAAUAAUUCAGGAGAUCAGGUGGAGCCCUAGAUGAGAACCUUCAUCUGGUGAUGGAUGGAGAUAGAGACAGAGACCCACACUGGAGCACUGGAC